AUAUAUAUAUAUAUAUGUGUGUGGCACGACCCCUAUAAACUAAUUACUGCAUGCAACAGUAAACAGAACAAAAUGACCCAGCGUGAGUUUUAGCAAAUUGAAGUGAUGGUACUUCCAGGUCUGUGACGUGCAGGAGCCACACUGGUGCUGCUUGUUGGACCCACGGAGAGCUGAGCUGCUGUCACUGUGAAAUCAACAGUUAUGAUGAGUAUUAUAUUCUAUUGCUCCGUUCAUUGGACAUCUGAGUGAAACAGCGGCUUUUCUUUGUGGGGCAACAAGAGUAUCGUGUGGUAUCUCUCUUUAGGAACGUUGUCUCAUUCCAUCACAUCAUGUCAUUUAAAUUACCAAAUGGAUUAUUCUGUUCAAUAACAGUUUAGAAAUAUUAACGUCCAGAUGGAUAAACACAGAGCUUUGAUGUCAUUAAAUCUUAUCAAAAUCAAUAUCAACACAUUUUCAUCAGAAAGCCUGGUAUAAAUGCUUGACUAAAUAUCUCAUCCUUGUAUUUGUCUAUUUAUUCAAAUAAUUGACUCCUCCAAGAGACUCUUUUAGGUCCAAAUCGUUUAUAUGUAUUUUUUUACAACUAAGUAAGCCCUGUUCUUAAACGUAGUAAAUUCAAAAUGCAGAUCAUUAAUUAAAAGCAGCAUACUCCUUUGAUAUGAAUGCUACUGUAUACAGCUAUUUGCUACCUUAAAAUAAGAGUUGUGUGAGUAAACUUUGAAUUACUUUAAUGAAAGGCGGGCUGAGCAAACUCAUUAAAUUGUUUUGUCAAAGAUGAUUUUGGUUCGUUGUUUCCGAAGGAAAGUCUUUAAUCAUCUUUCUGAAAGUUCAUAUUUGUGUCUGUCACUGGGUCCUGUUUGAAUAUUUCGAAGCACGAGUUUGCUUUUGGGAAAUGAUCAGAACCCAUUUUUCAGAUCAAAACAGCUACUCUUACCAUCCCAGUAGAACCUACUUCUCCACGUUCCCAAAUACAGCAGCAAUUGAAAGAGAAAUGUUGUGUCUCAGGCCGCGGUGAACUUAGAGAGGAUGUUUUUUCCACCUCUACUUUGUCAGCAGAAUCUAUAGAUUGUUGCUGUGGCUCUCUGGUAGUUAUGAUAUGUUGCUUUUUCUGGGUGUGUCACAUAAACCCUUGGUAAUGUCAGCCAGAGAACAGUUUGUUGAGGGAUUGUUUUAAUGUAGUUUUGUUACUCUUUGUGUAAGAAGAAAACCACUCCGACGGAUUUCUCUACUUGGAAAAGGGGAAUAAAAUUCCAAAUCUCGUGUAUACAAACCAGAAGUGUCUCUUUCUUACUUAUUCUAUUAAUACUGACCUUCGAAUACACUUUAAUAUGUUGCGUGUCCCCAAUGGCCUCCAGUAGCAAGGCAAUUAUGAAAGCUCAAAAAAAGAAAUGUAGUCCCACCUUACUGUCAAUUCAUAAAAACACACAAACUAGCCUGCCAUGAAUGUGACUUUAAACAUCGAGGCUGCUUCAUUUGCCAUCCCAGAGGUGUUACUCAUUUCCUUCCUACACCUUCUGCCCGGCAUGAUCCUCGUCUCGGAGUCUAUUAAAGUCAUGUAGGACACAGGUAAUUUGAUUCAUAAGCCAGGAUUACAUUGGAGUUGUAAUGGCCCUAACGAUGAAGCAUGAUGUUUGAGUUUCGUUAAUAGGAUCCUCUAAUAGAUGACAGAGACUCGGAUGUUAUCCGCUACUGACGCGACAUGCACCGAGCAACACAACUACCAAGAAACUUCUGCUCUUCUCUCCCGACAAACACAACCAAGGACUGGACGUAUCCUUCGUCUCUCAUCUCCUUUACUUUUCAAAAUGCUGUUGUUGGUUGUAAAAAUAUAGGUGUUUUUUUAUCAUUGUAAUUUCAGGGACAGUAAUUAAAGCAACCUACUUAGCCACAGAAGCCAUUAUAUGUCUACCAAAUGAAAGGUGAGAGAUGUUGUCACCUUGUUGCACUUCAUUUAUCUCUUAUCACUCUAUCUUCUUCCCUUUAUUCCUUUUUCGUUCAACGAAGACAGGUAAAGUUGUAUGAGGCUGAGAAAGCGGAGUUUAGAUAACCCUGCCUUUCAACCCCGCAGCUGUAUGAAGAGAGGUGCUGACACAAAGAUUAAUAAUGCUCUCUCUCUCUCUCUCUCUCGCUCUCUCUCUCCAUCUCUCUCUCUCUCUCUUGCGGCAUAUCAGCAGCUUCCUUUCCUAUUUGUCAAACAUAUGAAUAAUAAUUACACGCUGUGCUAAUUCAUUGUUUCCCUCUACCAGUAUUCUUCUGAAUUCAUGCAUACUUAAAAUGCUAUUAUUCGGAUAUGGGUCAUUUCAUGGAAACAAUAGGAGCUGCAUUUCCAGGUAUGUGGGUUCACUUUGGUCUCCUUGGACAAUUCAUUACCAGCGGGAUCCACGGACCUGCUCCAUCGUACAGCAUCAGCACAGCACAGGUUUGCAGAUUUUGGUUUAUCCAAGCAUAAACACUUUGUUAGAAAAAAUGUAGGAGAAUAAAAAAAUGUAACCAUGGUUUGCGCAAAAAUGAAUUAAUGGCUAAUUGAUAUGCAAAGUCUUUCGCUAUUGUUCUUAGUUCUACCGUAACUGAAAAGUUGUUUAGUAACAACAAAAUACGUAAUAGUAUAUUUAAUUGUAAACAUCUAUAACUGUGCACAACAUUAAUUUCCAUUAAAACAAGUUAACUAACAACAAAACAGAAGGUUUUAAGUUUUUCUCAUCCAUUGCAACCGAUAAUUUAACUUGGCAGUGGCAGUUUUGUUCCAUUGAAUUAUUCGCUUUUAAGACAAAACUCUGCACUAUUCCCGCCUUUUUUCAGUAAAAUGACAAACAUUUAGAUAUGGGGAAGUUCUAAAGCGCUCACAGGGGAUCGGGAUCCCAUUCAGGAGACUUCACAUGCACAAGCAACGAGCAAAAUCAGUCCAGACACUCGGGCUGCAAAAUAGAAGCGGCCGAAGAAGAUGGAGAAGGUUGCAGUUUGCGUGGGUUUGAUGCUUACAGGAGGACUUGGAGAUAAUGAUAUUGGGGGAACGUACAGUCUUGUCAGCGGCAAGACUGCGUCAUUUUUUACAGAUAAUGUAAUUGAAGUAGUGCAGAGUGAUUAAUGGCAAGCAGUAGAUCCUCCUCCAUGCAAUUAACAGAAGCUUGUCUCCUCAGCCUUUAAAUACUAGGAUCAGAUUGUACUUCAAAAGGGAAAAGGGUUCUCACACAAGCUUACCAUAUGCAUAUAGUCAUUACUAAAAUCCGUAAAGAUUUAAAUCAAAAUUAUAUUUUAAAUGAUUAUAGAAAUGGUAUAGAAUUGGCGUGAAAAAGCAGCUCCUCCAUCUUGAUUCCAUUUGAGAUUCAGGGUAUAAGCUGAUUGUAUCUAAAUAAAAAUAACGUCAUUUUUGUUGAACCUGUGUAGCUCAACCUGUAUCGGUUCGGCUGUUCAGCUAAAGCAACUACAGUUGUGAUUAAAAAAACUCACAUUUACCUAAUGAGGUGACAGGCUCUUUGAUGCAGGCUGCACCGUUUUGGCUUUUGCUAAAUGUGAAUCGUGUAAAGUUCAACUCGCUGUCCGUGUCCUCCUUCUGAACCCGCUGUUUAUCUCCGCGGCGACCCUCCUCCGUCCUCAUUCUGUACAUUUCAAAAGAAGCAUGAGCCCCUGAUUUGCAUAAUCCAGAAUGCUCGGCACGCGUGUGCACGCGUGUGCAUGUGUAUUGAGAUGAGCAUUGACUGGUUCUGUGCUUUCCCAAAUCUAAUUAUCCCCGUUGGCCUUGGGACAGGGCCCACAAAACGAGCAGGAGAAAGAAGCUGGUGGCAGAUGAAAAGGAAACGGACAAAAACCAGUAGAUCUGCAGAGAAAGACGACGCAGGAGAAAUACAAAGAAUACAUUAAAGAGUUCUUUGGAAAUGGGGUCACUGUUUUCUUUUGGGAGAGUGACAAAUUGAUGUACAAAACUGACUGACCCGGACAAUGAGGGAACCACAAUUGCAAACUACCAUCCGAGUUUGUAAGAAUUGAAAAACCCACCCUUUUUCGGCUAUGCAUGAUUAAUUGCACCUGUAUCGAAACACCAUGGAAAGAAAAAGUACAAAUAAAGCUGCACAAAAGGUUUACGUUCCCUCUGUCGUCCGUACAACCGUGGUGGUGUGGUGACAAUAUGUUGGCUUGACUAAAUUAUUUGAAAAAAAUGGCUUUAAGUCAGAAAGUAGCCCAGGAAUAUUGUUCGCCUUAAAUGAAUCAUAAUUUGGAGGACAUAUGUAACUUUCCUAAUGUAGUUUUUAACUUUAACGUAGCUCCAGAUAUAACAUUGUAAUAUACAUAUUUUAAAGUUGAUUUAUAGUCACUCACUGCAUGUGAAUGAACAUUUUGACAUUGGUAGCCCAACCAAGUCACUCUCCCAACUGUGACAUGCAACAACCUUAGCUGUGCUUUUAUCAGAUUAUAAUGAACGUGACGUUCGAUGCAUCAUGGUGCAGCAAAGCUCCCCACCGAAGAAGUAUGUUUCUACCUUAAUCUCCUCCUCACUCGAGUUAUGUUGGAUGAGCACAGAGUGUCAGAAGCAGGCAGACAGGCACGAACCGGAUCCGAUCCACAUGAGAGGCUCCUUAGAUCACUCCCUUCACCAAGGUACACAGAUUCCCUCCCCAGCACCCUCCUCUCAAUCUUCUCCUCGCCUUCCUUCAUCUUACCCUCCCUCUCAUUAAAACUCCUAAUUGACUCAUUCACACCUGCUCGUGCACUCGCCCGUUUGGGACGAACCUCCACGAGCAGAGCGAGUUUUCUCAUCACUCGGGGGCCCGCUGUCCUUCAUUCACCUACAGGGCAAAGCGAUGACUGUGUGUGUGUGUGUGUGUGUGUGUGUAAUGUGGGUUCGAGGACGUCAACUUGUGAGUGCACACAUAAAACAAACAGGAAGGAAAAGGCCAAUAAAGAGGGUGUGGUAAAAUAAGUGCAUAUUUGUAUUAAUACUAUUAGUGAGUAUUUGUGUAGGAACGGCAUUUUAAUACAGUCAGCGAGGAAUUUAGUUUACUUUUUUUUUUUGACUCAAAGGCCACACAUGUUAGCGCGUCAGGACACACAUUAAGCCAUUCGACCGUGUGGUGUUCAACUAACGUGCUUUGUGGUAUUAUUCUCCGUUUAACCUUUUGUGAGAUAAACCGUCCGGUCUUUAGCUUUUCAGCUGCCUCCCCCAACUCCCAACCUCUGUCCUCCCUUUAGCCGUUCUCCGGUAUCACUAAUACGUGCCUCAUCAAAAUCACAUUAUCUAAAUGUAGAUGGUAACCUUUGGGAAACGGAAGGAAAUGGGAUUUCCUAAAAUACACCACGGAAAGAGGUCAGCUGAACCAAGUGGCCUCAUGUGUUAAGUGUCCAAACUGUCAUCUGUCAGAAAAAGACGUAUCCUGUCCCGCCAAGGUCAAUGUCAACAGUUUAUCAUCACGUCUCAAUGUGAACGUCCCGAAGCUGCUGUCUCUCUUCUUCCCUCACAAUGUUUUGCUGAUAUUUUAGGAAAACUGACUGAACAUCGAAAAACGGAUACGUCACGAUUCCUGUUCUAAAAAGUGAUUUCACUCUCCCUUCGACCUGCCGUCCCCUCCUGCCUACUUGCCUCCUUAUUUUCCACUGCCAGUGCAUUUUGUGGUUUUAAUGAGACUUUACAGGGCUCUCUUAGGUUAAGAGUUCAAAAUGCUGAGGCCGAGGUCGAAGCAUGCGCAUGCACGUGUGUCUGAAUAAUUUGUCAUUGAAGAGAUGCUAAUUUACUCUGCAUCGGCCGGUAUGCAUUUUAUCAGUGUACGUUCACAGAUGGGGUAUAUGUGAACAGUUGCAAUAUUAAAAAACAAAAUCAUAUUACCUAAUUAUCUAAUCGUCGUUAUUUUUUCCUUAUUAAUUGUCUCUAUUUAUCAAAGACAAACAUUGCCUCAAGUGAAACAAGUGUGUUUGGACAUUGACCUCACUGCGAGUGCAUGAGCAAUCAAAUUGUUAUCUGUGAGUAACAAUUAUAUCCUCAUUCCUGGAGCUCUAUAACUCUCCCUCUGACUCAAAAAUUUACACUCUUUCAUUUUUAUCAAGUAACUGAUCUCUAUUAUACAGACGUUUGUGUGGUGUAAACUACAGUGUGGACAAAGUUAUUUGACAAAGCCACAUUUGGCUCAGGCCGUUAAAUUAAUUAAUAUUGAUCAGCAGACAGACAAAUUAUUUCAGAGCAUUAGUGAAUCCAAUAAAUUAGACUGUGUUGCCAAUAUGUCUGUGGCCAGACAGCAGAGUAAACUACUUUUUUAACAUUUUCAGAUGAAAUAAGGUAUCGGGGUUUACAGGCAGUGGAUUUGUCUGGUGCACUCUUGUGCUGUUGAAUGGAAAUUAUUUUUUUCCAAAGGCUGUUUAAACGGAACUGUACAGGUUACAGUUGUGUGCAUUUUCAUAGCAAUUGAAGCCCAAGAACGCCAAGAAAGAACAACCCUCUGAUAUUUUGAUUUGAUAACAUACUGUCAUAAUACUCAAUUCCCUGCCUCGUGCUGCUCAAUUCCCCUACAGCAGUUUUGUGCGUGGCAGCAGGCAAUCAGCGCCCACAAUGCAUCAUGUUUCUGCUCUCCACUUUAAUUGCCAAAGGCUUUGGACUUUCAUAUUGUAGUCCUCCCCCGCUCGGCAUUGUGAGUGUGGGUUAUCCCAAACUGCAAUUAAGCCCAUUUAAAAGUAUUCAUUGCAGCCACCGGCCUGGAAUAGUAGCAUUUUGAUGAAUGACAUGCGUUACUCCAAAAUGAUAUUCAUUCAUUUUUGUAAUUCAUUGCUAAUAGUUACCUCACAGGUAAUACCUGUACCGAAAACAUUUACACCAGCCCAUCCUGCAGAAUGAGCUACUUACUGGUUACAACAGCUACUGACGGCCUUUGGUUGCAACAAAACAGAAAAGAUGCACUGAGUUCAAAUCAUCUUCCUAAAUGUUGCUUUGUUUUAUGAAGAAGAAAUGACUCUCUGUUAGAGAUACAGGAUACAAACAAUGCACAGUGUACUGACUGUAAACGUAUAUUUAUUUUUCACCUGAAAGCUACACACGGAAGACACCUUCAACAUACAAUACAGAGACAGAAACACAGAAACUAAAUCAAAAUACUAAAAGGACGUGAAGAUUAACAAAAUAGUUCUUCAAUCUGCAGCUUGACAACUUUAUUGCGUUUGCGUUUCCUUCCUCUUCUCUCCUUCUCCCCUCUUGGCAUAUGUCCUCUGACAGGCUCACAGAUGAAAUCUGCUCUCUUGUCAUUUAGGAACCAAUCAAUAGGACAAAUGACAACUUGAGACAAUGACACAAAGACAUGUUGUCAGUGUGUCUUACUAAAAUGUGAUGCCACAUGAAUAUAUAUUAAUUUCUGUAAGAUCGGAAUAAACACGAAUAAAUACAAAAAUGAUAAAUGUAAUAUAUUUGUAUAUAUAAACAAACUGUGAUGAAGUAUUCAACUGGCUAUGUUCGACAUGCUCCAAUGGGUUAAAGGAGCACCGGCCUUGUGUUCAGGCUACUGCAAGUGUUAAAUGUGAUAGCCAUAAAAGACAGCAGAUAAUGAAGCUGCAAAAAAAACAAGUGGUCUUGCAGCUAUUUUCAUGCUCAGUGGCUUUCACUGCCCCUUCUGCAGCCUGUACUUCACACCACUCAGAGAUUAGUUCCCCCUGGAUGGUGCUCGCUCCAGGAAAAUGGCCCUCAUUAACGCCACACGGAGGGCAAUCCGACUCUGCCUGUGAUUAGGACCCACGGGGCCCUUAGUCUGCCCAGUGCAUGAUGGACACUGGCGGAGAAAUUGAAACCGUCCAUGCCGGGGAAGACCUUGUGUUAUUAUAACAUAAAGAACAGUUAUUAAAGUGUCUGCAGUUGGGGAGAGUCAAUCCUAAUAAGCUCCACAACGUCGGCUCUCUCGGCAUUUGUUCUCGUCCUCAGCUCCUCUUCGAUCUUCCUCUCUUAUCUCACACACUCGCUUCUUUUUCAAAGCCUUCACUUCUCUCUGUGAAGAAGUGUGUUCAUCCUUGGUGUGAUUUUCACCGUGGAUUUGAUAUUCAACCUUGGCCCUACCAUAACUAAUGACAUAACAAACGACUCAAACCCAAGCUUUAUGUUUGUUGAGAAUCGCAAGAUAUAUACUGUUAUUUUCUUUUCAGCACUCCAGCCAUCAUCAUGUCAGUCUUUUGAUGUAUUUCCGGCCCAAUCAAACACAAUUCCAGAAACUAUGCAUGAGAAUCAUUCAGAUGCUUUAUGAGAAAUUUGACAAGGGUGUGAAAGUGUCUUUGUCGUUAAUCCUGUUGAAACUCUACAGUCUUAUAGACAGAAAUGUUGCAGAAAUAAAAACAGUGUACAGCAGAAAAAAUUCUCUUUCCAUCAUCGGACUUGGAGACGCUGUGACCAACCGCUCUGUCACUUUGCAAAAUCGACAAUCCAGCAAACUAGCGCACUUCGUGAAGUGAUUGUUCAUUGGAGUGCAACAUUAUGAAUGCCUUUCCGGGAGGGACUUCAGCUUUUCUCAAAAGGCUACGCCAUUGUCCGCGUAUUAAAAUGAUUAACACAGCUGAUGGCUGGCAAGAGUGGCUGUCCGGAACAGCUGAAACAUAAUUUGCCUUCUGAUGAGUAACUUUGCAGAGUGCCCCGAGCUUUAUGCGUUUAGUCUGGCGCUAACAGAUGCUGGUGCAUCGGAGUCUGCUUUUUUUCCCAGGUGUUUAUUCUGCUCUUCUCCGUUAACGUGUCUGAGAGCUGUUUUGGGAAGCUACAAAAAGCUUGUAGCUGAGCAUUUGCGUUUUGUUUUUCGUCACCCACACUGUUCCCAAAGGUCAAGAAUAAAGGUACAGUUAUGUGAUUUAAAAGGUAUUGUGAGUUACUGUGCCUAAUUACUGUACUGACAUGAAAACAGCAGUCUUGACUACCUUGUGGAAAAGAUGACUGAGGAAAACCUUGGAAACUUUUUUGUUUGAUGUACUCUGUAGAAGAUUGUGACGGACAAAACGUUCAAACGUGCAAAAAUGUGGCCAAAGUCUUUGCGCACUCCGAACAAAAGAUUCUCCAGCACAAGUUAUCAAUUUUCUUCUUGAACUUACCUGGUGAACGUGAUGCAGACACUGUAUUCUCACCAUCAAAACCAAUGGUCGUAUUCCCCACGUUUUUUGAAGGUAACGUACAGCAUGCUAUGGUGCAGGUGAUCCGUUAAUGGUUCGUUUAAGCCCCCCCGCAUACUGUUGCCUCUCUAGAUUGCUGAAUUCGUCAACAUGCCAGGGCCUUGGAUACAAUGCAUAAUUACAAAAUGAUUUAUGUGUGGAACAACCGCCACAUAGAACUUUCCUCGGCGGCACGGUAUUGCUUCUAAAAUCGGUGUGAGCGGCGUCAAGCUGUAGAAGAUUUGUUUAAGCUUGCGUCACUUGGCACAGCGAUGGCAGAUUUGCGGUUGAUCACUGAAAAAUACUUACUGUCCUGAUUGCAGAGAGGCACAAUGGUCACACUCAGUGAUCAUAGAUGAGUUAUUGACCUCCCACAGAACAAAAGGCUCUAGUGGAACUGCAGCAAUUCAUCACAUGCUUUGUGGCUGAACAUAAAAGGCUUCGCAAAAGACUUUCAUGAAACAAGGGAAACUAAAGCUUCCACUUGGCUUUAUCCACUCUUGUAUAUUGCGUUUUGAAUUUUAAAUGUAGUUUUCCAUUUCCACAAGUCUCCUACGCACCUAAAAAUAUCCAAACUGUAGCUGUUUGAUCAAACUACUUUGGCUCAGUAAGACUCCAGUGAGAGCAACUUGCAACCCUGCAUUCAAGAAUAUUUGAUGCCACUAAACAUUUGAUAAUUAGUGACAAUAUUUAAUUACUCACACUUAUUUACAUAUUUUGACCGCUCAGACACAACUGGACGUUGCAGAACACACCGGAGGGUUUAAGUAGAUCCGAACAGAUGAUAAAUGCAGGUUUGAUCAUAUUUUGUGUACACUUAUUAAAAUCCAUCAGAUGUGCAAACAGUGGCCUUAUCUUGAAUAGCUGCUGCUAGAACGUCUAGACACUCAACCAUGUAAGAGGGGGGGGAGAGAGGGGGGGCAAGAUGAAAGCUGCCUGAGUCGAUGUUUGAUUUUACACUAAGGGGUCCUCACAUUAUCAGCUGAGCAGGUCCUGAUCAGCGGGUGAGUGUGUGCUCUUGAUUGGUGGAGACUAUUAGCCAUAGAGUCCAGUGGAAGGCACAGUGACAGUUAUCAAGAGGAAAAUUGUCUACUUUGAGCAGACACGGGCAUGAAACGCCAACGAGGCAUUUUGUCUCCAGUGUUUUCCAUGUGUUUUUGCGUGAUGGCACCAUAGUAUGUGAGCAAAACAAAAACGUCUGUGGAAAAAAAAGAUAAUUUAUAGCGGGAUUUGAAAGUGUGUGUCUGUAUACACAAAAGAGUAUCACCUACAAGGUGAACCCAGCUCAAUUAGGAAGAACAAACAAAAUGUGUGCGUUGCCCACUGUUGGAGGAGGGACGAGUCCUGAUCAAUAGCUGCCUCUCCGGGCAGAGCUAUUAGCAAACAGCGCCAUGCCUAAUAACCGAGGGCUGACCUUUUAGUUUAAUGCUUUCAGCGCUGGGCUCCAGGCCCCAGACACAGUGCAAUAGCUGUGUGGCAAGGAGAAAAGGUGAGUGUUGUUUUAGUAGUUUGUAAAUGUAAUGCAGAUUGAUCACUGUCUUGCAGCUCUUAUUGCUGUUCGUCAAGGCUGCAGGGAAUAAAAGGGACGGGGCUGACGUUUUAUACUAAAGUGAUUCAUGGACCUCCCUGUCUUUAUCUAUUUUCAAGCAUGACAUUUGUCUAUAGAAGGGCUGGCAUUUUUACACUUGAAAUCAUUUCCAUCUUUCAUGCAUAAUAAUGUCUCAUACAUCACUUCAACUUUUCCACGGAAGAUGGGUGUUUUCCAGAGUAAUAAUCCUCCUACUGCUUCAAUAUUGACUUGGCUUGAAACGAUUUAUGAAGUGAAUGAAACUCAACUUGCAAGAAGUUAAUUCUAAACAACGGAACAUUACAGAUUAUUAAAAGGUGAAAAACGGUUUGUUCAUAAGGGGACAAUGGCAUGACAUCACACAGUUUUCAAGCCAACGUCUCCCAAUUUAUUCCCCUGAACCUUCCCUUCCCCUUUUUGUCCAGUAUCUCACACACUCCCCUGCUGCUUCUCGAGAGAGUACUUUGCAUAAAGCAGCAGAUGGACAUCGCCAUUAGAAACCCCUGACUGAGCUACUUCUUCAGACUGUCCAUCAAACUCCAGACUUUCCUCUGAUCCCGACUUUUCCACAGGCAUGACAGGGGACAUUAAAGGCACAAUUCUGCCUGCGGUGAAAACUUCUGCUGUGAGUCUAGCUGAUACUCAAUAACGAUAUCACUUCUGCGGGCUUUAUCUUGUUGAGGUGACGGGCUGACGAUGGCCCGGGAAAAUUCGCAUUUAUCUCGAUGAUGUAUUGGCUCAAGUUUGGGCAUGCGACAGCUGGUGAAGAUGCUCAGAUGUGUGUGCACUUUCAUGUUAUGUGUGUGAGUCAAACACGGCCAGCGAUGCACCGCGUGGAUUCUCCGCUUGGCAGCAGCUGCUCUUUUCCAGCGCUGAGAGCUUGUCGAUAAACAUCCAUUUCUAUAUUAGUCUUUCCUCCCACUCUGGCUACAUCCAAUUGCACACUUUUUUUCCCAGGUGGAGAACAUGUUUAGUUAUGAAGAUAUUACAUCCAGCAGUAACAUCCUGGCUCCGAAUUGUGUUGCAAACGAAGCAAGUCUGCACCCUGAAAGGAAAUAUUGAAUAUUUUGAAUAUUAUUAUGCAAAUGUUAAUUCUUACAAAUUAGGUCUAAAUAGGUCUUAUUUACUGUAAUGUGCUUUCAAACGCUAUGAGGAAAAAUCCAUACUUUCCAUACUUUCUAGCUCUUUUACGUGAGAAAACAGUACAAUACAGUCAACACAAUACAGGCAGAAAAAAAAGUCAUUUCAGACGGCCUGUUUGGUCAAUGUUGAUCAAAGGAUAAAACAGCAAUCCUGUUUACGUAUGCUAAUAGCUCAACCGCAAUCUGCAUUUAUAUUUGAACCUAAUUCUGUAUACAUCUCCCGUUCCGGUUGCUUUGAAGCACAACUCAUUUGCAUAAAGGCCAGGCUCGAGCCAAACCGAUUCCAACAGUCCCCCUGAGACAACGGCAGUUAAACAUAACCUUGCGUAAGCCACGUGUUGGCUGAUGCGAUGUGCAAGUGUAUCAUGAGAAUUGAACGCACUAAUCUUGACGUUCCUUUAUUUCGUUUUUAAUGAUUUCCAUCUAGAUGCUUUGAUACUUUGUUUGUAACACAACUCUCACAUUGUGCUUUUUGUUCAAUCCUGCUGCAAGUCUCCAAUUGAGGACCGACCAUGAGACGUUGGGCUCCUGCAUUGGCACAGAUGCACCAUCUGUUUACAAAGGUGUACUUCUUCUCCUUUUUGUUAUAUCAUACCUCUUGUAUUUGCUGUUUAAUGUAAUGCUCUUUCAAUGCAGCAGCAUGGCCUCUCAGUUUUGUAUGUCGAGGUUGUUGCAAGAAGGUCCUGACCAUAAACAGCCAAAAAGUUUAACAAAAACUGUGUGUGUGUGUGUGUGUGUGUGUGUGUGUGUGUGUGUGUGUGUGUGUGUGAGUGUGUCUGGGGACGUCACGUCAGCUCAGCUGUGGUGUCAGCAGAUGGAGAGGCCACACUAUAGACGCCACAGCUGGUCCUGUGCUGCACGGCUCAUAUUGAUCAUCAGUAAGUUUACCAUCAUCUUCAACAGCUAGUUAUCACUUGUAUAUCAAUAUACAGAUGAAUCAAAUAUUGUGACUUUAAGUAAUGCUGAUGUCAGCGCGUAAUCUCGAGAUAAUGUUGAUGUCAUAAAGCAUUUAUCUUUAAAUGGUCAUUUUCUUUGGUGUACACUAGACCUUCAUUUUGAGGCCUUCGAAUGCUGCCCUUGUUUACGAGUAAUUGAAUGAAUUAUUGUUGUGUAUUUCAACUCACUGGCCAUUGCCAAUCAAUACAAGUCAUGCUUAAUUCAGACCUGUCUUGUUUGCUAAGUUUUAAUUCACCUGAUGCAGAAUGCAUUAUUUUUACCAGAUGGCAGGUUGUCUAACUCCCCUAUUCCCUUUCCUCCACCGUGAUGUAUGUGCAGCUUUUACAGAACUACAGUAACUUGCCAUUCACAUUCAUGAGAUCUUCCCAGCGUGAUUGCCGUCUUGUUUAGUGAAUGGUUAGAGGAAGAAAAGUAAGAUUGGUGGAAACAACCCGUAACACCCUCGCAGGAGCGAAAUAAUAUGAAAAUCUUACAUUCAUGAAAUCAGUGCGAAAGCUCUUUAGACACAUUUUGCGUUGUCCCGACUUUAAAGAGUCCACCUGGUCUCUUCUGAGACCAUCUUAUAAGAGUCUGCCGCUGAUUAGAAAUUAUAUUCAAGGUCUUUUUGGAAUCCUCUUCCACCAAAUUACCUCUCGAGUUUCAGUCCACUGCAUCGGCGUCUCAAAAUGUGAGGAACGCCUCAACCGGUGCACCUAAAUCCACUUUUCUCAAGAAAAUACUUUAUUUCGAUGAUUCAUUCUAGAAAUGUCUACAUCAAAAAGAGGUCAUGGGGGAUUUUAGCGGCACUGCUGCAUUCCUUAUGGGAUCGAGCAUAAAUCUUGAGAGGAAAUAAUGACCCUAAUUCCUGAAACCUGAUGCAACUAUUAAUCCCAUUGCAAUCUCUAGGCACAGAAUUGGCUUUCAACCGAAAAAUGUGGGAGAAAAUUAGUUCAACAAAAAUGUGUGUCCAUCUGAUUAGGACAAGUCAAUCUUCAGCUGUGCCACAGAUUGUGUCGGGCAUAAGAGCAAAACCGCCGUGUGCCAUCCGUAAAAAUGAGGGUCCUAAAUGUAGACGGAUAGCGUUUCCUCUGCAACUCACAUGAUGGAAGUUCAAUCUGCUUCGCUCUUGUUUGGCUUAUUAAAAAGAAACCCACACACAUAUUCAUUUUUGUACUGUUAAGUUUGUUCUCUUUACACCAAUGCCUACGGCCUAUCGAUCGAACGGAGGGAACUAUUCCGCAGCAGUUCCCACAUGGGGAGGAGUAUUGACUGCAGGGGGCUGUUGUGUGUUUCAACAUUAGGGGGAAAAGAUGAGUGUGUCUGUCCCGUGAUGAUGGAUGGCCGUGGGCUGCAGAGGAGCUAAUUGGCUCUUGAUGAGGCCGGUGUUGCAGAGAGAACGCGUACUAGGCUAGAUUAGCACAUUAGCAGGGUUAAUCAAUGAGGAAAUGAAGGUGUGCUGUUCCCCCUCUCUGCUUCUCUUUUCGGUCAUCCUCGUGCUUUCUAGUACUCAUUUUGCCUUAUCUCACACACAAGCCAUUAUUCUUAUUUAAUAAACUGAAUUGUGUUAGAAUUAAUCAAGUUAGUAGUAAUUACAGUCACGAUUCUUUGCAGAAACUGAAAUGUAUUCAGAUGUCAUACAUAUAUCUGAAUAUAUUUUUGC
ensembl:lncRNA